CAGCGAAUGCCUUUGGCUACGGAUCUUUUCUCUGUCGAUCUUCAAUUGAUCGUCAGCUUGCUGACGAGCGGUUGAUAGGUUUGCAAUAGGAUGGAAUCCGAUAAAUUCGCUAAGGAUGUUGACGUAAUGGCUUUAAACGA
rnacentral:rRNA from 1 species